rnacentral:rRNA from 1 species
AUUGAACGCUGGCGGCAGGCCUAACACAUGCAAGUCGAAUGGUAACAGGAAACAGCUUGCUGUUUCGCUGACGAGUGGCGGACGGGUGAGUAAUGUCUGGGAAACUGCCUGAUGGAGGGGGAUAACUACUGGAAACGGUAGCUAAUACCGCAUAACGUCGCAAGACCAAAGAGGGGGACCUUCGGGCCUCUUGCCAUCAGAUGUGCCCAGAUGGGAUUAGCUAGUAGGUGGGGUAACGGCUCACCUAGGCGACGAUCCCUAGCUGGUCUGAGAGGAUGACCAGCCACACUGGAACUGAGACACGGUCCAGACUCCUACGGGAGGCAGAAGUGGGGAAUAUUGCACAAUGGGCGCAAGCCUGAUGCAGCCAUGCCGCGUGUAUGAAGAAGGCCUUCGGGUUGUAAAGUACUUUCAGCGGGGAGGAAGGGAGUAAAGUUAAUACCUUUGCUCAUUGACGUUACCCGCAGAAGAAGCACCGGCUAACUCCGUG